UGAAAUUUCCUUUCUCGUAAAUUUCUCUUUACUUCUCCCCGAAGUUGCCUAUUUCCAAGAAUAAGCUCUAGGCCAAAGUUACAUAUUCAAGACACCCCUGCUCUGCUGACAUGAUGUUAUUUCUUUUGUAUCACUCUUCCUCUGCCAGCCAUCUUGAAGUUUAAUGCAACCCCUCACCUCUCUCUUCUCGACUGGCAAGUCUGUCUCUUUCUCUUGUUUCGAAAUUGAAGACUGGAAGGCUUGUGUGAGCGUCCCUUUUUCUCUUUUAUUUUGUUCCUCUUGCGCUCCUCUUUUUCUGCCAGCUAACGUAGAGAACACACCUCUCACCUCUCUGAAAACACUAUAUAACACAAGGCAAUUCCAAGCAUAUUGUAUCUGACAGACCAGACACACAAAACAGAUCACAUCCACUUUCAAAACCCUUUUUCAACCAUGGAUAAUCUGACCUGACUCGAACUCUCUAACCCAGCUUCACCUCCUCCGGCUGUACCUCCUUGUAUUACUCCUGCUUUGGCUCCACAUCCAGAUACGCCUCCAGUUCAUAACCCCACCCCGUCUCCGGUUCCGUUGCCUCUACUACUACUACUCCAUAGGCCUUCAGAAUGGAGCGCUGAAAUGUUUCAGAAUUUAAAGAGAAACGAAACAGCCAGCGGAACCGGAGAUGGAGUGGGGUUAUGAACUGGAGCCCAAGCUGAAGCUAUUACUUGAGGUGGAUCUGGAUGCCCGGAGAAGGAGGUGAAGCUGGGUUAGAGAGUUCAGGUCAGGUCUGGAUGCAGGGCCAGAGCUGGAUCAGGCGAAGGAGGUGAAGCUGCGUUAGAGAGUUCAGGUCAGGUCGGCUUGGCUUAUACAUGGUUGAGAGAAGAGUUUUGAGAGUGAAUGUAAACUGUUUUUUUAUAUUUUUAUAUUAUUUAAAUAAUUUUUUAAAAAUAAAAAAAUAUUAUUUUAAUAUAUUUAUGUAAAAACAAACUUCACAUUCACAAUCAUUACUCUAGUACUUUCAGACAGACACUUUCAGACAGACGAGGGGUGUGUUCAAUUCAAGAUGCCUGGCAGAGAAACUGGGCACAGGACGACUUGCCAGUAGAGAAGAGAGAGAGAGAGAGAGGUAAGGGGCUACAUUAAAUUUCAAGAUCAUGUCGGCAGAGCAGGGGUGUGUUAAAGAUGUAACUUUGGCCUAGAGCUUAUUCUUGGAAAUAGCCAGUAAGCAACUUCGGGGAGAAGAGAGGAGAAAUUUACGAGAAAGGAAAUGACAUCUUGAUAUUUGAUAUCAUUGCUUUAUAACUUUUAAGAAUUAAAAUUACACGUGAAAAGAUCAAAUUUAUUCUUAGAA